GUCUUACAAGUUGGUAUCAGAGCAUGCUUGAUCCUGUUUAGGACAACACUCUAAGAUGUUGAGUUCCAAACCGAAUUUAUUUCCAAAAACUAUGAUGACUAUGGAACCUUAGUUGGGGUGAGCCGAGAAAGAGUUGAGGUAAGCUAGGGUAUCAUGCUUGUGAAUGUGAAAGUUCUAAGAUGAACCGGCUUAGCCAAGAUUCAUUCUCCAAGGGCAAGAUCCUAAAAACAGAAAGGUUGGUCGAUCUAGUUAUUAAGAAGUAAUAGACGGGUUGGAAGGGAUGGAAGCAAUGCAAAACUUCUUUAUGGAUUACCUGGACAAGGGAAGUAACAUGGACCAGAGAGUGGCUUAAGUUGAAAUAA
rnacentral:lncRNA from 1 species